rnacentral:rRNA from 1 species
CCGAGUUGUAAUUUGCAGAGGAUGCUUCGGGUUCGGUUCUGGUCUAAGUUCCUUGGAACAGGACGUCAUAGAGGGUGAGAAUCCCGUAUGUGACCGGCCGCCACGCCCGUGUGAAGCUCCUUCGACGAGUCGAGUUGUUUGGGAAUGCAGCUCAAAAUGGGUGGUAAAUUUCAUCUAAAGCUAAAUAUUGGCCAGAGACCGAUAGCGCACAAGUAGAGUGAUCGAAAGAUGAAAAGCACUUUGGAAAGAGAGUCAAACAGUACGUGAAAUUGUUGAAAGGGAAGCGCUUGCAACCAGACUUGCCCGCGGGUGAUCAACCGGUAUUCUUACCGGUGCACUCGCCCGUGGUCAGGCCAGCAUCGGUUCGGGCGGCUGGAUAAAGUCCACUGGAAUGUAGCUCCUCUCGGGGAGUGUUAUAGCCAGCGGUGCCAUGCAGCCCGCCCGGACCGAGGACCGCGCUUCGGCUAGGAUGCUGGCGUAAUGGUUGUAAGCGACCCGUCUUGAAACACGGACCAAGGAGUCUAACAUCUAUGCGAGUGUUUGGGUGUCAAACCCAUGCGCGUAAUGAAAGUGAACGGAGGUGGGAACCCUUUGGGGUGCACCAUCGACCGAUCCUGAUGUCUUCGGAUGGAUUUGAGUAAGAGCAUAGCUGUUGGGACCCGAAAGAUGGUGAACUAUGCCUGAAUAGGGUGAAGCCAGAGGAAACUCUG